rnacentral:rRNA from 1 species
UACGAAGGGGGCUAGCGUUGCUCGGAAUCACUGGGCGUAAAGCGCACGUAGGCGGCUUGUUAAGUCAGGGGUGAAAUCCUGGAGCUCAACUCCAGAACUGCCUUUGAUACUGGCAAGCUUGGAGUCCGGGAGAGGUGAGUGGAACUGCGAGUGUAGAGGUGAAAUUCGUAGAUAUUCGCAAGAACACCAGUGGCGAAGGCGGCUCACUGGCCCGGUACUGACGCUGAGGCACGAAAGCGUGGGGAGCAAACAGG